AGUGAACGCUGGCGGCAGGCCUAAUACAUGCAAGUCGAACGACAAGACAGGAAGAUUGCUCCUCUACCGGUGGCGGGUGGCGGACGGGUGACGAAUAGAUCGGAAACUUCUAAGUCUUGGAUGAUAACGGAGGGAAACAUACACUAAUAGCUCAUAUGAUGAACCGCUGAAAUCAAUAGUGAAUCGCAGCUUGCCCGACAGUAAUAGCUGAUUUCGGGUCGCAUUAGCUAGUUGGUAAGGUAACGGCAAACCAAGGCAACGAUGCGUAGCCGAGCUGAGAGGGUGAUCGGCCACACUGGAACUGAGACACGGUCCAGACUCCUACGGGAGGCAGCAGUAGGGAAUCUUCCGCAAUGGGCGCAAGCCUGACGGAGCAAUACCGCGUGAGUGAUGAAGGUCUUCGGAUUGUAAAACUCUUUUAUUAGGGAAGAACAAAUGUGGAAGUAUCUAUGGACGUCUUGACGGUACCCAAACAGUAAGCACCGGCUAACUACGUG
rnacentral:rRNA from 1 species